UGCUUUUUACCUUUUUACCUUUCAAUUUUUACCUUUUUCCUUCUUCACCCGUCAAACCAAGAAACAACAAAAAACACCGUCUAUUAAAUGAAUUAAUUUCUGGCACCAGUGAAGCACAAUUUAAACAGCAAGUUUAUUGUUUAAUUAAUCAAAAGACACAAUCUCUUUUCAAUUUGAUCAAGUGUAAUUGCAUAUUAGAAAUGUAAAGUAUAGCAAUCAUAUGGAGGAAAUAUUUUAUGCUGUCUGAUCACUGUUGUAUAACCUGAAGAGCUGAAUCUUUCAAUCAGUGUUGGUACUCACAUUUAAAUGUUAAGUUACACUUUUUUCUUAUAACAAUAUAAUCUUAAUUUCUAAUUUUUUGAUUGUUUUGUUUUGUUGUUUCUCUUUGAUAGCAAUUAAGCUGGUGAAAGCGAUGACCAUCAACUUUUCACUCUUACACUCUUCACUCUUAUUUUGCUAUAGUAUCAUCUUUACUAUCUUUAUCUGGCAAGGAAAAAGUGACGUGAAUAAACGUAAAACGACCGAUUUAAAGUUGGAACAGGGAAUAACCCAGAGGGAAUUAACUGAAAUAAUCAAAUAGAUUGACUUUAAUUUGAAAGGAAAAGACCUACUAAACGACAUCAAAGACAACCAAGACAACCAAGGAGUGGAAUCAAAGAUACAUUCGAAAUUCACUGUUCAAGGUGAAAAUGAACUUUCAGAAAAUGAACAAAAGAUGGGAUAACAAAGCAAAAAAGCUUCUGGUCAAAGCAAAUGAAUAUUACAAUGGCAAACCACCAAUCCCCUGAGCUACAUAGGAUUCUUAAGCUCGCACUCAUACCAAAAUCAAUCUUCGGGUCAAUGAUACAGCUGAAGGUGUCCAUUGCUACUCCAGUCAAGAAUAUUAUUGAAAAGCUCAUUUCAAUCAACUCUAAUAAUCAUUAAUGGGAACAUUUAAACAAAGGUUAAAUGAUGAAACUGAUACGAUUCCGAAAGACAGGUUAAUGUUUCUGAUCUCAAUCGAGAGGUUAAUAAUUCAUCAACGGAAAACUGUUAAACUGUUAUCUCUAGUCAAUUAGAACUGACAAUUGAAAUUCUGCAAAUGGACAGUUCAGGAUUAUUUUACUGCACAUCAUUAUCGGACGGUUCAAUGGAUGACCAAGUAUGGUAUAACUUCACUGUUCAUUAUGAAGAUAUGAAUACAGAAUUGUAUACAAAGUAUUCAUUUAAAUUGUUAAACCACGAUUAGCUGAUUCAAAGUGAAUAUUAUUGCUUUAAAAAGGACACAAUUUAAAGGGAAAUUUAAUGAUUAGAAACACAAAAUAUAACAUUUGAAACCUUUAAUCAAAAGAUCAAGGAGAAAGUGAUCUGCAUCACUUUAUUUUGGGGUUAAGGUUGCGAAUCAACAAAAGAUUUGGAUGAAAUUAUAAUUGUCUGUAACAAGAUGAUAAUCUGACAAGAUUAUCAAACUGUUGGUUGACGACGAAGAUGACGAAGAUGAUGAUGGUAAUGAUGACGAUGAUGAUAGCAGUUAACAAUGAAGUGAAGCAAGUGAAAAAGGAAAGCCAAACGCUACAAGGAAAAGGAUUCUUACAUUGUUCCUGUUCACAUUCAAUUACUUUUACUUUUAGGUGUUAAACGACCUUCACCUUAAACUUCUCAGGCCUAUUAUUAUUAUGAUUAUGAUUACAGAUCAUUAAAAAUCUUUAUCAUUAUCAUUAUAUAUUAAAAAUAAUACCAAUUACUUUUAUAACCAACAAUUUACUUUGGCAUAAACAGCAAAAAUUGGUUCAAGUCUUUCGUGCAACUAACAUUGGUAUCAACACGCAACUCAUCAACAAGCCAACAUUUUAUAAUAAUGAAUGAAAAAUGUAACCAACAAGUGCAAGUUACUUUCUCAAUCCCAAUAAUAAACCUGAUUAUCACUGA